rnacentral:rRNA from 1 species
AUUGAACGCUGGCGGCAUGCCUUACACAUGCAAGUCGAACGGCAGCACGGGAGUAAUCCUGGUGGCGAGUGGCGAACGGGUGAGUAGUACAUCGGAACGUGCCUAGUAGUGGGGGAUAGCCCGGCGAAAGCCGGAUUAAUACCGCAUACGACCUGAGGGUGAAAGCGGGGGAUCGAAAGACCUCGCGCUAUUGGAGCGGCCGAUGCCAGAUUAGGUAGUUGGUGGGGUAAAGGCCUACCAAGCCGACGAUCUGUAGCUGGUCUGAGAGGACGACCAGCCACACUGGGACUGAGACACGGCCCAGACUCCUACGGGAGGCAGCAGUGGGGAAUUUUGGACAAUGGGCGAAAGCCCGAUUCAGCCAUGCCGCGUGCAGGAAGAAGGCCUUCGGGUUGUAAACUGCUUUUGUCAGGGAAGAAAAGUUCUGGGCUAAUACCCUGGGGCGAUGACGGUACCUGGAUAAGAAGCCCCGGCUAACUUCGUGCCAGCCGCCGCGGUAA